UAAAGAAUUUCGGUCAUCGAUGGGGAUGCGUUCCAUUAGCUUGUUGGCGGGGUAACGGCCCACCAAGGCAUCGAUGGAUAGGGGUUCUGAGAGGAAGGUCCCCCACAUUGGAACUGAGACACGGUCCAAACUCCUACGGGAGGCAGCAGUGAGGAAUAUUGGUCAAUGGGCGCUAGCCUGAACCAGCCAAGUAGCGUGAAGGAUGACUGCCCUAUGGGUUGUAAACUUCUUUUAUAUGGGAAUAAAGUGCAGUAUGUAUACUGCUUUGCAUGUACCUUAUGAAUAAGGAUCGGCUAACUCCGUGCCAGCAGCCGCGGUAAUACGGAGGAUCCGAGCGUUAUCCGGAUUUAUUGGGUUUAAAGGGAGCGUAGGCGGGUUGUUAAGUCAGUUGUGAAAGUUUGCGGCUCAACCGUAAAAUUGCAGUUGAUACUGGCAUCCUUGAGUACAGUAGAGGUAGGCGGAAUUCGUGGUGUAGCGGUGAAAUGCUUAGAUAUCACGAAGAACUCCGAUUGCGAAGGCAGCCUGCUGGACUGUAACUGACGCUGAUGCUCGAAAGUGUGGGUAUCAAACAGGAUUAGAUACCCUGGUAGUCCACACAGUAAACGAUGAAUACUCGCUGUUG
rnacentral:rRNA from 1 species